GGGCCAUCAUCCUGGUCUGUAUCGUCUCCCAGGAGUAUUCCUCCGAAGAAGACUGCGAUAAAGACCUCUACAUCAGCAUCCUUGGAUACCUGGUCCUAUUGGGAUUCUCUAUUAUCAUCGAAGGGGUGAUUAUCUUCCUUAGUCUCAGAGGGACCAUUCUUUAUGUUCGACCAAGGCAUCUUAUGAAGACAGUGCUUUAUAUCAAAGGAUCUUUAAUAGGAGUCAGUUUAAUAUGGUCUAUACUCAGUAUACGAUGGCUAGCUAUGUCUUACUCAGACUGUACUCUGCAUUAUAUCAAACAAACAGUAUUAGGCCUUAUUAUAUUCCAUUUUAUAGUACUUUUAGCCCUCUGUGUUCUAACUUGGUGUGUGUGGGAUGGAGUGGGGAAGAGCUUCGUCAAAUUAAAAAAGACAGAGAAGGAGAAAAACAUCAAAAGAACGGCGAGCAGGGUCGAGAGAAACGAACAGAGGGAGCUGUAAGUAUAAUGAUAAUAUUACACAUCAUCUAGGGCAACAGUAUAUACCCUGUAUUGUUAAACCAACAAUAUUGAUGUUUACAUGAUUUCCUACCGGGUACCCAUUCAACACCUGGGUGGAGAGUGGCCAAGUGUGAAUCGAUGCCUUGAUGCCAAAGGAUGUUUGUGUGUUGAAGGGAUGUGAUCACAUGACCCUCUGAUUCACAAGAUUCUUUUGAACAAUCCCUUUUUUCAGAAUACGUUUAACAUACCGUUGAAUGUUUUAUAUUGUAUUGUAACUCAGUUAUUUGGAAUCCUUUUAAAAUCAUUACUUUUUCUUUCAUUUUAUGGGUUCAUUACUUAUUGUUCUUGUAUGUGCUAUUUUGCACAUUAUUUAGGUCCAUAUUUUUAUUUAUAUUUACUACAUUUUCGGAGCAAUAGUAACCGUCUUUUUGUGAAAUGAUGCAUUCAAAGACUAUGUUCAUAUCUACUUCUGAUGUGUGUCUGAUUUUUUUCAAAUUUUUUUUUUAUCAAAUCCUGAUUCGUCUUAUACUCAAACAUUGUCUAAAGAAAGGUUCUUAUCAUUGUGCAUGUGCAUACAAUUUUACACAGAUGGUUAUAAUCAUGAUCUUUCAAAGAAAAUAAAAAUCCCAUGUAGUUACUAGUUUCAUAUCUUCUUGUGAUCAAAUUUUACAGAUACAUGUAUGUGUAAAAAGAACCUUAAAUAAUCAAACGUGAUUUCACAAGCAUCAUACAUGUAUGAUAGUGCCAGCUGAAAGUUGCCAAAACUGUUUUUCUAUUUCGUAUGAAUGUGCACAUCAUGAAUAAGUCAUUUUAAGUUCAUAUACCCUUUUUACCUCAUUUACAGAAGCUAUUUUGAGACAUUUUUUGUAUAUGCAUCAGGGAUAUAAUAAUACAAUCUGUAUUAAAGUAACCUAACAUCCACAUUCCAUAACACAGUAAGUGGUCCGUGUGGUUUACCACGUGAACACAGCAUGGUGUGGCUAUGAUGUGGUGAGCCAUGGACUUGACUGUUAAAGUUUUGAUCAACAUUUUCUUUGAAUUAAACAGGAAAUGUUUUAUCACCAUUGUUGCGUCAAAACCAUAAGUUUAUAAAAAAGCAGUGUAAUAAGCAGUACGAUUAGGAAAUCAAAUUUCAUGGCUGCCGUGGAUGAAGCACAAAGAAUUGUCUUCUUUGACAUGAAAACGUGCUUUAUUUUGAGAUGCAGAGAGCUCGGAUCAGGACUAGAUAUCUCAUCACACUAUAGCUGGAACUUUUAGCAAAAAAUAUGAUUUCGGUCAAUAUUUGAAAUACAUGAAUUUAGCUCUGUCAUUGAUAAUAUAGUGCUUGGGAGAAAAAUAUAAUUUUUUAACAGAAAGAACAUAUUUUUCUCCUUUUUUAUCCAAGUAGAGAGAAUUUCCCCCGACUUUGGUCAUAUGAGUCAGAACAAUACAUAUAUUUCAAUCAUUUGAUGAUAUGGGAUGCCUCUAACUAUACAAAAGUGCAUGGGAGGAAUCAGAAUCUCAGAGUUUACUUCAAUGACUUCUCUUUCUUUUCUUGUAACAUAUUGGUAUUAAAACAAGUUGACAAUUACUUAUAAUUUUAUUAAUAGGGAAACUAUAAAUUUCAAGCUCUGCUUUUUAAUAAUUUGCCCCUUCAUACCCUCAUCUUAUUGAUAUAUCUGUCUCCAGUCUGAACGUUUAAUUGUAUAACAUUUGUCUUAUUCAUUAUGAAUAAUGGUGAUGUAUUGUAUUAUUUUAUCAUUAAUGGUUUACUGUCUUUUGAUAGAUCUUACAUUGUAUUUGAUAUUUUGUGAGAUAUGAAUAUAUACCAAACUGAAACUGAAAUGACGGAACAAAAAUCUUUAGAUAUGCCACAUAGUGGAUUUUUUAUUGACUAUUCACAAUGAAAUUCCUUAUCCUGAACCCGGUUUUAAUUUGAAAUUUGCUCAAAAUUUAAUUGCCCCUUUCCUCUUUAUUUUCUUUUAUUUAUCCCAUCUUAGUUUAAAAGUAGACUUUCAGUUGAGCUGUUAAACAAGGGUAUUGAAAUACAUUGUAUUAACCCGUCAAUUUCUGCUAACAACGUGGACCACAUCUACUUGAUCUGGAAGUUUAAAAGCAAUUAUCUUCUCCACAUGGAACGCCCGCUGGGCCGUGGACUGGAUGACAUUUUAAUGGGACAUCAGAACUGGCUAUUAAUAUCUUGAUGGUCUUGACUGAACACUGACCCAAGCUGUGAACUUUUAUUCUUUUUCUAUCAAUGGUCAGUUGGUCAUGAUACACACAUAACGGGUGAUUUGAAAACCAUUUUAUUUUGCACCACUUCGUAUCAAACAGUUGCAAAAUUUCAAGCAAGUGCUCACCAAAUUAUUCAAUUUCAUUUCAAGAACAUGGUAAAAUUCUUGAGCAUUUACUUAAUUUUCUUAGGGCAUGCUUUUUAAACUUUGAGCAUAUUUUUGUGGCCCCAGUUGUUGCCCUCCCCUAACCCAAAUUGCAGAGGGAUUUGCAAUCAAGCUUGCGUUGAUUUUCAGCUAGAAAUUUAUGCUUGAUUUCUUAGUUGCAAUUAAAUAAAGAUCUAGUGGAUGCCUGAUGAGGAAAAUUGCCCUGCCUUUUUUUUAUAUUUAUAAAUAAUCUAAUAGAAUGUGCUCAUUUUUUCUUAUCAUUCGUAAAUAGCUUGUAUGUCAUCAUGAAACUACUACACUCUACUUUUUCACCAUGGAAACCUUCAGAAGUUACAUUCAUUUUCUUUCCACUUCAAAUCUAUUAUGAUCGUAGAAAUCUUCAAUGAAUAAACCAGAAAACAGAAUGACAAGGCUUUCAUGUUUGCUUGCAAGAGUUGUUCGAAUUCUGUCUUCAAAAUUGCCCUCAGCCAUUGAGCGUUAUGAGCUUCCAUUCAGGAUCGUCUUUAUGAACCUGUCAC